rnacentral:lncRNA from 1 species
UUUUUUUUUUUUUUUUUUAAAACAGCAUUUAAAUGUUAAACAAGCCUGGACAGCUACAGACAGGCAACAGGCAUAAAAGAAGCAGGCUUAAAAAAAUUUUUUUAUUUUUGGUGUGUUUGUUCAUUUUCCCUGGGAUUUCUGUCUUUAGAAAGAUAAUAUCAAUUUCAUCUUUAGUAACCUGGAGUUUUGGCAAAGUGUGCUUUCUGGAAUUUUGAAUGGUAAUAUCUGUCGUUUCUCUGCUUGACACAGCUUUAUUUAAAUAGCUUUAAAAUUGAGACUCCUCUGGCAUGACUCUUCCUUUAAAAUCCAUAUAAUUUCAUAGUACAAGUGCUACCUUUCAUAUAUGGACAAGGUGCCACUGACUUUCUUGAUUUUUUACUAGUUGAUUCGUCUGUACCCUCUCACGAGGACCCUUAAAAACAUGCCUUUCGAAGGUGUUAGCCAAAGUGAGGGGCAGAAAGUUUAGCCAAGGGACAGAGUUUGUCUUUGCAAAGCAAACUGGUGUGUUCCAGACAGAGUCUGAAACCCUGGCUCUCCAGGGGAAUCAUCGCAACAGAGUUAAUAUUUAUUGGCUAUUGAGUGUGUGCCAAUGAGUCCCAAAUUUUCUGUGGAAUGACUCAUUUCAGCCUUGCCACAACUCCUCUAUUUUACAGCCAGUGAAACUGAGGCUCCAAGAGUUUAGGUAUUUUAUUGAUCUAAGGUCAGGAAGCAGAAAAGACUGCGGGAAUCUGAAACAAGCCAUCUGUCUCUAGAGCCCUUGCUCUUGACCUUUUCCCAACAAACAUGAUCUAAAAUAAAACAUUAAUCAUAUUAGCAUGUGAUUAUUACAUAGUUUGAUUUUUAAAUGGUUCAAACUAUUUUCACAACUGUUACCUCUUUUGCUCCAGAGGCAUGAUGGUAACUAAAAUCUUGGAAUGUGUCUUUUCGUAAAGAUUAGAUUUGGAAAAGACACACAAGAAACUCCCUUUUCCAGUGCAACGUUAACGGAAGCCCUACUUGAGCAAAUCUGGUGCCCCAGGAGAUCACCUCAGUUUAUUUUCCUUCUCCCAAAGAUAAAUGUAGGUGGUGGGGUGUUUUAGGGUUUCUUUCAGUACCGCUUUUAUUUUUCUACAUUUUUCCUGAACAUGAUGCAAUUGAUACCCUUUUGAAGUUUAAUUAUACCUCCGGCGUCACAUUGCAUGAAGCAUUUUCCUCAUGGCUGUGUUUUUGGAAGCUAAGUGCAUGGCAGUAACAGCAUGUUUAUCUUGGAGUUGAGACUUGAGAAGCAAGUUCCUCCCUUGAACACGACCUGAGAUAUAUCACCUCCCCAUCUGGGAUUCCAACCUUAGGUACAUAAGGGAGCCAACGCGUCAUUUUAAGAGACAAUGGGAGUGAGAAGCCAUUUUCCAUUAAUUUAGAUGAAAGCUGAUGAGGUGAGGGGCAGCCAUCUAUCAUUUCUAGGGGGUUUUAGUACUAGUAUCCUCCCCCAACUGCCUCCCGAUUCACUAUUCUAUAAGUGUGGGGGUCAAGAAUGGUUGGCAAAUCACCACUUUCAACAAUGUCUAUUUAGGCUUAAACAUGGCCCUCCUGCAUCAAGUUGAUAAUGAACAAGUUGCUAAACAGACACAUCUGUGCUUAGGAGACCUGUGGCAACUUGCCGGCAUGGCCUAGGGGGCCUUUUGUAAUUGGUCCUCGCCUUCCUUUCUGGCCCAAGCACUGGCCACUCCCUAUUCUGCAGCUAUACCAGGCAGCCUGCACCUCUUUACUCCAGAUGGGGUCAAAGGCAAGUCAUGGCUACAUUUUGGACUUCCAAGGAUUGGUUUCCUACUUCUAGCCUGCAAGUUUGAGAUUUAGUGGUUCUAGGAUGGAUGAGGUGGUCCUGGGAUGAUAACCAACUCAUGCAGCCAAACCUUCAAGACACAGAGGAAAUUCAAUGUCAUCAUUUAAGGCAGGAGACCCCUCCAAAUCUUUCAUCCAUAUGGAUCCAUUAUUCUGGGAUGCCUUCUUUCACUUCAUCUCUUGAAUUAUAAUAUUAAUAUAUUCUUCCUUCAAUAUUCAGUCAUCUCCCAGGAGCAGUGUUCCCCACCCACCUUCUGGAUGGGAUGUCUGUGCCACGGCCCUUCACACCCUGGGCUUCCCUCAAAUGCAGUACGGACCACACGGAGGCCUCCCAGCAUGGUUUUAUCUACCCCUCCCACUAAACUAUAUUCAAUCAUUCUGGCUGAUAGUAGGGGAUCAAUAUAUUUGUUCAAUGAAUGAAUAAUUCUUUCUGGUAGAGGAGCCUAUUUGGGAAACAACUCAAGUCAGAUUACUUGGUGAAUAUUGAAGGCCUGGAACAAGCUGAGCUGAAAAUGCUCCAAAUCUACUUCUGAAGCCAGCUACCCUGUCCCAUGGCCAUUAUCGCUCUCCUGGUUUGUCCUACAUUCUUCAAACUCUCCAUAUUUCAGUGCUGUGAGCAUCUCUGUCGGCUCUGGUGGUGUCAAAAGGGCCCCCAAGUAGCUCCCAACUCAUUAGUUAAACUUGGCCAUGACUGUAGUGGAGAAAGGUGCUAGUCUCUUACGUUGAAGAAGUGGGAUCAUGAGUAGGGCUAGGCCCACUGUGUGGGGUCUUUCAUUUGUAGAUUUUCUCAUGGCUACCUCUGUGCCCCAACAACAUUGUAUGCCUGACUGUUUUUUUUUUUUUUUUUUGUGGAGACAAGGGUCUUACCAUGUUGCGCAGGCAGUUCUCAAACUCGGGCAGUCAAAUGAUUCUUCUGUCUCAGCCUCUCGAGUAGCAGGGACUGCAGGCACAGGCCACUGUGCCCAGCUUGCCUGCCUUUUAAAGGGGUGGAGGAAUGCUUUUAUGCUAGUGGCUGCAUAGGACACAGCCAUGCUGGGGAGAAUUUCCCACUCGGAGACAGCUCUGCAUGCAAGCAAAGGAGAUGGCCUCCUUCAUAUGAGAUGAGAACGGAAACUGCUUAAAACGAGUCUCUCACCACUCCGUGCAAUGAAAUUCUACCAUCAAAUCCAAGUAUCUGCCUCGAGGGGCUUGCAGGCCUACAAUCUAUUAACCUCUCCUAACACAUUAGCAUUAAUUAGUUUGUUCAAGGACAGGUCCAUUUGCAGUGUGGAGAAAGGCGCCUGAAAGGUCUGUAAUUGCGGAGAUGAAUAGAAACGUGGGCAGCGUGCGGACCUAAGCUCAGGCCACGAUCCUUCUCUUGCCUGGGUUUCGGCCCGUCUCUUUGAGACCUCAGCCAAGCUCUCUAGCUGUGGAGUUUUAUCCUCCAGUUUUGGAUGGAGAGCACUCAUUUUCUUUCUGGGCCCAAAUGAAGUGUAAAUACUUUAAACUGCCCCCCAAAGCCCGGUAGGUCAGGUGCUGUCAGUAACUAAUCAUGAAGCUGAUCUCCCCCAGUCCCAGCACUCAGCAUGAGGGCAGCCCUUCCCAUUUCCUCCCCUGUCCCCUGCAGGAAUUAAUCCCUCAGGCCAUCACAUUCCCAGUGCAUUUUCUUUUUAUACUUCUGUGUGUCACUUGGGGCUGUCUGCCUUGAAUUAGAGUUAUUUGUGUACCUGUGCCUGGUAGCCUCCCCACGACUUGACGAUUUGAGCGUCUGAGUGACAGGGCCAUCUUUUUCAUUUUUCUAUUCCUCGGAGCACCCUGCUCAAUAUUUUACAUUUAGGUACUCAAUGUGUGGUUUGAAUUGAAUUGAAUGCAACAACUGGGAUUUAGAUUUGCUGGAUGAACCACUACCCUGUGUACCCUCAAAAAUACACGAACUUGGGUGAGGCCAGGCGUGGUGGCUCAUGCCUGUAAUCCCAACACUUUGGGAGACCAAUGUGGGAGGAUCACUUGAGCCCAGGAGUUCAAGACCAGCCUGGGCAACAUAGAGAGAAUCUGUCUCUUUUCCAUCGAGGCCAUCAGUUACUGUCUUCUAAAGAGAAGGGCACGAUUGCAGGUGUCAGGGAUGCAAGAGUGAUUAAGAGAGAGGGGGCCCUGCCCUCAUGGAGCCUCACUCCAGAGGGUCCGGCAAAGUCUAAGGCCUUAGAAUUCUAGCCAAACCUACUGGCUGAGGCAGAAGAAUGAACAAGAAGCGUCAGCCAGGCCGCUGGCCCAGGCACCAACUCACAGUUGCCCAAUAGGAUUGAGCUCUGGGGCCGUUUACAAGUCCACGUCAUUCCUGUAUAAACCUUAGAAGUUUACUGAAUAAACCUUAGAAUAAGGA